rnacentral:rRNA from 1 species
UACGAAGGGGGCUAGCGUUGUUCGGAUUUACUGGGCGUAAAGCGCACGUAGGCGGAUCGUUAAGUCGGGGGUGAAAUCCUGGAGCUCAACUCCAGAACUGCCUUCGAUACUGGCGAUCUUGAGUCCGGAAGAGGUGAGUGGAACUCCUAGUGUAGAGGUGGAAUUCGUAGAUAUUAGGAAGAACACCAGUGGCGAAGGCGGCUCACUGGUCCGGUACUGACGCUGAGGUGCGAAAGCGUGGGGAGCAAACAGGAUAG